UUGUUCUGUCAUGUGGUAAUUUCGCAGUCAGUGGUUCGUAGUUUCAUAUGCGUGUCAAAAAAGUUAUUGUGAGGAACGGUAGAAUAGCUAAUUCAAUAAUACUGUCAAGAACUAACCGCGCGACCCUUAAUACCAUAAUCGAGGUUGCAGGCAUUCCGAUUUCCAUGUUGAACCAAUUACAUAGCAGUUCCCAUGACGUUCUAUAAUCGCACGUUCGUUAUCAAGGGAGUGUCAGUAUUCAUUUUUCUGCUCAUUCUCCUGUUCAAUUUAAAAUUGGAUCUUCGUUUCCAAACGGAACGUGUUGGCUCUACCCUUUUGGC